rnacentral:rRNA from 1 species
UACGGAGGGUGCAAGCGUUAUCCGGAUUCACUGGGUUUAAAGGGUGCGUAGGCGGGCAGGUAAGUCCGUGGUGAAAUCUCUGAGCUUAACUCAGAAACUGCCAUGGAUACUAUUUGUCUUGAAUAUUGUGGAGGUAAGCGGAAUAUGUCAUGUAGCGGUGAAAUGCUUAGAUAUGACAUAGAACACCAAUUGCGAAGGCAGCUUACUACGGGAACAUUGACACUGAGGCACGAAAGCGUGGGGAUCAAACAGG